rnacentral:rRNA from 1 species
UACGUAGGGGGCAAGCGUUGUCCGGAAUCAUUGGGCGUAAAGAGCGUGUAGGCGGCCCGGUAAGUCCGCUGUGAAAGUCGGGGGCUCAACCCUCGAAUGCCGGUGGAUACUGUCGGGCUAGAGUGCGGAAGAGGCGAGUGGAAUUCCUGGUGUAGCGGUGAAAUGCGCAGAUAUCAGGAGGAACACCAAUGCGAAGGCAGCUCGCUGGGACGUUACUGACGCUGGAGACGCGAAAGCGUGGGGAGCAAACAGG